rnacentral:snRNA from 1 species
UUACUUUGGCAGCAUACAUACUAAAAUUGGAAUCAUAUAGAGAUUUGCCUGGCCCCUGCACAAUAAUGACACAAAAAUCAUGAAGCAUUCAAUAUACAU